rnacentral:sRNA from 1 species
AAUAGAGGAACGACGGCUAAAAGCAUCACAUCCUGUGAUAACGCCCCCGUGACCAACAUCAUGCUGU